CAAAAAAUCUGGAAUUAAUAAAUCCAUCUGGUCAGCAAACAAGCUACUAGAAGACUCAGAUUAUGGCCCUCCAGAAGAGGGAGACACUCUACAAGCAUGCUGGUGCCAGCGAAAGAAUAACCCAGAAUACUAUGAAUCUAUGUUUUGCGUUGUUUGUCUGUGGUGUGUGUCUUGUUGCUAGCAUGACGUGGGUGGGGGAUGGCUUCAAAAGGCUGACGGGGUGGAAAAUGUGUACGAAAACGCAAAAUGCUCAACGAGGAGGCCAGCACCUGUGUAACAGCUAUCAUGGUACCUGAAAAUAGAACGGCAACUAAAAUUCAGCUUGCUAAAAGUUUACCCCAAUAAACAUCACAUUGUUUGCGCCUUUGAA